UUAAUCUAUUUUGCUAAUUUAUCGUGAUUCUAGAUAAUUAAUUGCAUGAGGUAGAUCUUUAACGCCAAGUGCAAAGGUCUUAGUUUAAUUGGCGAUGUUUGAAGGGGAGGGUAUUGUGACAAGAAUUAAGUAUCAAUUAAUAGUUUAUUUUAUGUCAUUUUAUUUUUUUAUCCUUUAGGAUUGUAUUUAAAGAGAUUGUGCCUCACUUUGAAAAGCAAUCAACAAAUCAAUCAACAAAUGAACAAACAUUUCUUCUCACAAAAACUCUUAUUCUAUUCUCACGUAGUUUCUCAUUUGUACCGAAUUAUAUUCAAUUCAUUAGAAUUCCUACUUUGAAACUUGAUUCUAUCGGUUUCGUCCCUAGAAUUUAAUUUACCCGUUACAAUUGGUAUCA
rnacentral:lncRNA from 1 species